AAUCUCAUGGCUCAAUUGGAUAGAGCGUUGGUCUACGAAACCAAAGGCUGAAGGUUCGAGUCCUUCUGGGAUUA
rnacentral:tRNA from 2 species